rnacentral:rRNA from 1 species
UACGUAGGGUGCGAGCGUUGUCCGGAUUUAUUGGGCGUAAAGAGCGUGUAGGCGGCUUUACAGGUCCGUUGUGAAAACUCGAGGCUCAACCUCGAGCUGUCGGUGGAAACUGUCUGGCUAGAGUCCGGAAGAGGAGAAUGGAAUUCCUGGUGUAGCGGUGAAAUGCGCAGAUAUCAGGAAGAACACCCGUGGCGAAGGCGGUUCUCUGGGACGGUACUGACGCUGAGACGCGAAAGCGUGGGGAGCGAACAGG